GUCCUGGGAUAGCUCAGCAGGCAAGAGCACAAGGCACUUAAUCUCAGGGUUGUGGGUUCGAGCCCCACGUUGGGCA